AUGUUUCAAAUGAGUUCAUUCACACCUUAUCAGCAACCAAACCAUUACCAUAAAUAUAAGCACAUACUUUUCUUUUCUAUUAGUGAAUUAUUAUUUGAUCUUCUUCCCAGCAAAUCCAAUCUGGUUCAAUACCCAAAGUGCAGUUUCAGCAACUCGCAGGUCAUAAAACUCAAUAAAAUUGAGAUGCUUCAUUUCUUGAUAUUCAUAGAUAUGCAAUUAGGAACAUAA